UACGAAGGGUGCAUGCGUUACUCGGAAUUACUGGGCGUAAAGCGUGCGUAGGUGGUUUGUUAAGUCUGAUGUGAAAGCCCUGGGCUCAACCUGGGAAUUGCAUUGGAUACUGGCAGGCUAGAGUGCGGUAGAGGAUGGCGGAAUUCCCGGUAUAGCAGUGAAAUGCGUAGAGAUCGGGAGGAACAUCUGUGGCGAAGGGCGGCCAUCUGGACCAGCACUGACACUGAGGCACGAAAGCGUGGGGAGC
rnacentral:rRNA from 1 species